AGGGGUAUAGCUCAGUGGUAGAGUGCUUGCUUAGCAUGCAUGAGGUCCUGGGUUCAAUCCCCAGUACCUCUA
rnacentral:tRNA from 1 species